rnacentral:lncRNA from 1 species
GACUUUAAUAGAUUUCUAACACCACAAGGGGCAGGACUGGAAGAUUGACAUUUUGACCCCUCGUUUACUGCCAGAUGAGCUAUUGGGUGUUCUGGAUACAUUGGUUCUCCUUUUCCUGUCAGAGCAGACCAUUCUUUUGCAGGUUUCAUAGUAAGCCCUUUUUGGGAGAAAUGAAUUAUUGCAGGCCUAAGAACUAUGUGGCUGCUGAAAGACUACCAACCCAUGAUGGUCCCUCCCUCCAGAUGAGUGCUAUCAAAAACAUGGUAAGACCUUAAUAUUUAGCUGUAAAACUCAAGGGAGAAUAUAUUUACAUGAAGUGAUUAUCUCUUAUGUUUCUGGACAUUCUAAAGAUACAUUACAUUCUCCUAAUAAUACUUGCCUUCUUUUUGAUAUGAUGUUUUGGAAGAACAGCUUGCACUUAUAAUCAGUACAAUUUAUCACCUAUCCCCAAAGUACCUUGCCGUUGAAAUGCCUGACAUAUAUAUUAGGUGUUGUGGAUUUAGCAAAAAUUGAAUUAUAAAUUGCCUUGCCAGCUUUUGCCUCUGGAAAUAAUGAAAAAGUGAGCUAAAGAAAUGUUCUCCUGAAGGAUUUAUUUUUAGUGGCUAUAGAGAAAGAAACAACAAACAUGGAUUGGCCAGAUUUUAUCAUUUUAAGCACUGAAUAGCUUGGUCUCAAGAAAAGUUUUCAUUCUUUUGAUUUUUUUUAAAGAAAAAAGACUGCACUGAGAGUGCUUGAAUGUCUCUGAAAAUAACUCAAUUGAGAAAGGGGGAAAAGAAAAGAAGGAAAAAAAAAGAAAACAUUAACAAAACAUUAAUUUGUACUCAGUAAGCUAUGAGAAUUUCAAGGUCUUGUGCCCAAAUGAAGUCAAGUUAAAUGUCAUCCAAAAUACUUUCUUUUCUCUUCUCUGGUAAGUGCCAUCUCUCAAUGAAUGAAAUUAUUUGCAAUGGUCUUUUAGAGUUUAACAUUAUCCAACUCCUCAGUAUAAUAGGGCCUUUAAUAAGUUAAUAAUCUAAAUUGGCAGAGCUAUGCAGAAUCCACUUUUGGCAAGUAUUCCAGCAUCAAAGAUGGAGCUAACUUAAACGUUAAUUGUAAAGGUAUUCAAAAAUUCAGUAACCUUUGGUAAUCCUAACUUUAAACUGACAUCUAGUGUUUCCUCAUGAAUUACAUUCUUGUCUCUUGAUAAAUUCCUGCAGAAAAACAAAAUGUACCUUGUG